rnacentral:ncRNA from 1 species
AACUUAAACGGGAAUGAUGUUCUCCCAUAGUUGAAAUUUAACUAAAACUGCUAAAUAGCUAAUGACGUCUACAUGCUU